rnacentral:lncRNA from 1 species
CAGGGAAUGUCAUCUGAGCAAACAAAAAACAACACAGGAGGUUAAGAAAAAAGAAGCCCGCUCAGCCUCCUUGCCAAGAAACCCAAUGAUGAUCGCAGAAGUUAACGAUCGCGCCCCGAAGCUCUGCUUUCCUGGAGGAGGGGAACCCCGCGCUCGGCAGGCCCGGCUUUGGGUUUAUGCUUCUUCCCCCCCCCCCCCCCCCCCCCCCCCGAGCGGAGCGGUCCUCAGUGAAGGCAGAGAGUUAAGUAAGAAAGCAAACCGCGGCAGAGUGCUCUCAGGCAGCGUUACUCCUCGCUUAGCAUCAGCACUAACGAGUCGUCCUCUCCCCUCGCCCGUCCGCAAAGCGAUCCAUCAUUUAUUUCCAGAUCACCUGGUGAUCUGUAACACAGAAAGAAAAAAAAAAAAAAGAGAGAGAGAGAUUAAGGAAGGAGCCGCCGACACCGCUCCAUGCGCAAUACCUAUCGGCUGAUGUAGAAAAGAAAGCAUAAUCCACAUGUAUAUUGCCUUUAACGAAAGGUAUUUCCUUCGCCUUCCCUCCCUACAGUACCGGCAUGCUUUUGCUGAGGGCUGCGUUUGCACAGUCGCCAGUAAUUACACGCGUGUGUCCGCCGGGAGAACGAAGGUUGGGAAGGUGGGAGGUAGGACGUGAUUCCUCUUUGGAGCAAUCAGGACUGGGAAAGGUUUCAUUCCGUGCAGACGCUUCACCUGCUUAUGAUGUAGCCUCAGAAGAGAAUACCUCUUCCGGUAUGUGCAUUUGAUUUCUCUGUUGGCGUCACCUGGCAGCACUCCCACUGGAGGGAAACCAAAAUGAUUUUCUGAUUUUUUUUUUCACUAGGGAAAGGUGAAAGAUGGUGGUAGUGGUGAUAGGUGAAGUAUCACAGCUGGCUUGUGGACAUUUUCUUAAUGAGAGCAGCGAUACUCCCCACUGGUGAUUUUCACCAUUACAGCAAGAUCUCUGCCACUACUGUGACCAAAAUCAAUCGAUCAGUCAGUCACUCUGCCUGCCUCUGUCUGCUAGCAGAAGCAAUGCCGC